UACGGAGACCUCGAGCGUUACUCGGAUUCACUGGGCGUAAAGGGUGAGUAGGUGGCCAAAUGUGUCAGGUGUGAAAUCCCAGGGCUUAACCCUGGAACUGCGCCUGAAACUGUUUGGCUAGAGUCUCGGAGAGGAUAGUGGAAUUCCAAGUGUAGCGGUGAAAUGCGUAGAUAUUUGGAGGAACACCAGUGGCGAAGGCGACUAUCUGGACGAGUACUGACGCUCAAUCACGAAAGCGUGGGUAGCGAAA
rnacentral:rRNA from 1 species